rnacentral:tRNA from 1 species
GUAAUGGUGGUUCAGUGGUAGAAUUCUUGCCUUCCAUGCAGGAGACCCAGGUUCAAUUCCCAGCCAAUGCA